rnacentral:rRNA from 1 species
CCUUUCGGGGGUACACGAGCGGCGAACGGGUGAGUAACACGUGGGUGACCUGCCCUCAGCUCUGGGAUAAGCCUGGGAAACUGGGUCUAAUACCGGAUAUGACCUUCCAUCGCAUGGUGGUUGGUGGAAAGUUUUUCGGCUGAGGAUGGGCCCGCGGCCUAUCAGCUUGUUGGUGGGGUGAUGGCCUACCAAGGCGACGACGGGUAGCCGGCCUGAGAGGGCGACCGGCCACACUGGGACUGAGACACGGCCCAGACUCCUACGGGAGGCAGCAGUGGGGAAUAUUGCGCAAUGGGCGAAAGCCUGACGCAGCGACGCCGCGUGGGGGAUGACGGCCUUCGGGUUGUAAACCUCUUUCGACCGGGACGAAGAGAAAUUGACGGUACCGGUAGAAGAAGCACCGGCCAACUACGUGCCAGCAGCCGCGGUAAUACGUAGGGUGCGAGCGUUGUCCGGAAUUAUUGGGCGUAAAGAGCUCGUAGGCGGUGUGUCACGUCGGCCGUGAAAACUUGGGGCUUAACCCUGAGCUUGCGGUCGAUACGGGCAUCACUAGAGUUCGGCAGGGGAGACUGGAAUUCCUGGUGUAGCGGUGAAAUGC